rfam:TPA: Bos taurus chromosome 12, whole genome shotgun sequence.
UCCCUGGUGGUCUAGUGGUUAUGAGUCUGCACUUCCACUGCAGGGGGCACAGGUUCGAUCCCUGGUCAGGGAA